UCUCCAGGCCCCACCCGACCAUCUGCCACAGGGCCGACAUUUCCUGCACUCCAGCUGCCAGCCCUGAGUUUAUUCUCUUCCUGCUUUUCUGCAGCUAACAGGAUGAACGGAUCCCAUUCAUCCAUCGCCCCCCUCCCUCCCCUUUUCCUUUAUUCCAUCUCCCGGGAAACAAGCAACUUUGAGGCAAAAGAGAAUGCCGCAUAAACACAUGCUGUUCUCGCGCCAAGCGUCCGCACGCGGAAAGCUUGUAUCGACUGUGACAUCAGACCAGUCAGUGGCUCGACCCACAAUCAGAAGCCAGGGGGGCCAUAAUCAGGCUACAUAAAGAAAUAGGGGAGGUUUUAUAAGAGAGGGAGUUAUAAGUGAGAUUGAGAUUCACCGUUCGCUGCCGCCAUCAGAGCCUGGAGCUGUUCAGCUUCGGUAGGGGGGUUGGGCCACGGUCCUGUUCCUGCUAUCACACCAGCGCCGGCACCUGCCUCGUCAGGACGCACUCCAGCCCUACACAACAGAGAACAGGGAACAGACUGGACAGCAUGUCGCUGGAAGCUGCAGGACACAUAAUCUGAAGGACCUAAACACAACAUUCCACUAGAAGGCCACACGCCAGGUGAAGCCAAACGCUACCACACACUAGCUUUCUCUUCGCCUUCACUCUACCUGGA